ACUAAAUAGAUACCCCGGUAGUCCCAGCCCUAAACGAUGCAUACUUGGUGUAGCUAGGCUCAAACCCUGGCUGUGCCGGAGCUAACGCGUUAAGUAUGCCGCCUGGGGAGUACAGUCGCAAGGCUGAAACUCAAAAGAAAUUGACGGGGGCCCGGCACAAGCAGUGGAGCAUGUGGUUUAAUUCGAUGCAACGCGAAGAACCUUACCCAGGCUUGAACUGUAGGAGACCGCCUCAGAGAUGAGGCUUCCCGCAAGGGCUGCUACAGAGGUGCUGCAUGGCUGUCGUCAGCUCGUGCCGUGAGGUGUUGGGUUAAGUCCCGCAACGAGCGCAACCCUUAUCACUAGUUGCCAGCGCGUAAAGGCGGGGACUCUAGUGAGACUG
rnacentral:rRNA from 1 species